GAUGAACGCUGGCGGCGUGCUUAACACAUGCAAGUCGAACGGAAAGGCCCUGCUCUUGUGGGGUGCUCGAGUGGCGCACGGGUGAGUAACGCGUGAGUAUCCUGUCCUUGACUUUGUGAGAACUUCAGGAAACUGGGGCUAAUACCGGAUAUGAGCUCUUGCUGCAUGGGGGUGGUUGGAAAGUUUCGGCGGUGGGGGAUGGACUCGCGGCUUAUCAGCUUGUUGGGGGGGUAGUGGCUUACCAAGGCUUUGACGGGUAGCCGGCCUGAGAGGGUGACCGGCCACAUUGGGACUGAGAUACGGCCCAGACUCCUACGGGAGGCAGCAGUGGGGAAUAUUGCACAAUGGGCGGAAGCCUGAUGCAGCAACGCCGCGUGCGGGAUGACGGCCUUCGGGUUGUAAACCGCUUUCGCCUGUGACGAAGCGUGAGUGACGGUAAUGGGUAAAGAAGCACCGGCUAACUACGUG
rnacentral:rRNA from 1 species